rnacentral:RNase_P_RNA from 1 species
AUUUUUGGAUAAUCGCGUGGUAGGAUACUAUCAUGAGGAAAGUCCAUGCUAGCACUGGCUGUGAUGCCAGUAGUGUUUGUGCUAGGCGAACAAAUAAGCCUAGGGACAUCUUUGUAUGUUACGGCGGUCAAACGAGCUAAGUCUUUGAUAUGCUUUAGUAGGCCUGAAAAGUGCCACAGUGACGAAGUUUUUAUGGAAACGUAAAAAAUGGAACGCGGUAAACCCCACAAGUUAGCAACCCAAAUUUUGGUCGGGGCAUGGGAUGGAUGGAAACGAACAGAAAUCCUGACUGUUUUGACAGUAGACAGAUGAUUAUCGAAGGUGGCAGUACCUAGUGCCACUGGAACAGAACAUGGCUUACAGAA